UACAGAGGGUGCAAGCGUUAAUCGGAAUUACUGGGCGUAAAGCGUGCGUAGGCGGUUAUCUAAGUCGGGUGUGAAAUCCCCGGGCUCAACCUGGGAAUUGCAUUCGAUACUGGAUAGCUAGAGUUCGGCAGAGGGAAGUGGAAUUUCAGGUGUAGCGGUGAAAUGCGUAGAUAUCUGAAGGAACAUCAGUGGCGAAAGCGACUUCCUGGACCAGAACUGACGCUCAGGCACGAAAGCGUGGGGAGCGAACAGG
rnacentral:rRNA from 1 species